AUGCAUAUGUUACAAAGUAAUUUUCAGAGAUGGUUGAAAUACUGAAGCCUUUGAGAAACACUCAUAGAUGUUCAAUAUUUCUUUCAGGUCAUCAGAUUUUGGGACAUUAUAUACAAAGCUGAAUUUGCAGCCUGGGAUUGCCACAGUCAUUGACAACUUCUAUAUCUGUCCCACCAACAAAAAAAAGUGCCUUACAGACAUGUGUGACGGCUGGCUGGCAGUAACUUAGCCCAGGGGUUUUGAAAGGGCAAAAGAUGAUUGGAGGACUUGGGAUUCCCUUUCCGCACUGAUCAGGCCCCAGAGACUCCCCUCCUGCCCACAUGUCACCUGAUUGGCCCCUUGGGUCAUCUGGAGGGGGAUAAAAGGGGCAGUGGGCUGACUCAGGGGAGACCAGCAAGGGACAACAAGGAAGGAGCUUCACAGAGCUGGUAAGACUUGAGCCAGCAGGGCAGAAGCAGUGCCCCAGAAGAUCCAGAAGGAGCAGGACCUGCAGGCAGCAGCGGGACCCUCAGCAGCGCGGCGUGCGGCCAGCAGGAGAGGAUCCCCACUGGGCUCCAGGAUCCCCUGGGAGAGGCUGUAGGCAGCAGGAGAGGCUCCCCCCGCCCCCAGCAAGGAUCUGAGCAGCGACCUGAGAGGUUCCCAGCUCUGAUUCCAGCUCCUCCAAUCCGAGGCCAGGCAGUUUGAUGUGAGGCUGGGGCUCCGGGAAGGUCAAGACCCCUAGCAGGCUGGAGCAGUGCCACCAGUGGUGGCUGUAUGGCAGUGUUCCUGCCUACCAUGUGGGAGAUCUGGGUCCAAGUCCCAGCUGAGGUGACUUGGGGUGAGUGAGCUAACAAGAAGCAAAUCUUGCAGUGGAAACGGGCCAUUGUCCUUUCUCCCCCUCCAGGUCCCAAGGCUCUAUAUUUCCUUGCCAUUUGACAUUUUGUGCCUUUUUAUAUUUUAUCAUAUAUUUUUAUGUUUGUUCUGCUGUUUGUGUUUUAUAUUUUGUUAACCCUGGUUUUUGGUCAAUGAUUGUAAGUGUCUAACCUUUCUUGAAUCCUGCCCCCUUGGGGCACUAUACCCUCUGAUUUAUGCCUGUUAUGUUCCCAGUAUUAAAAGGUA
rnacentral:lncRNA from 1 species